GCGCCAUUAGCUCAGCUGGUAGAGCACCUGCCUCUUAAGCAGAGGGUCGCAGGUUCGAAUCCUGCAUGGCGCA
rnacentral:tRNA from 1 species